rnacentral:rRNA from 1 species
AGAGUUUGAUUAUGGCUCAGGAUGAACGCUAGCGACAGGCUUAACACAUGCAAGUCGAGGGGCAGCAUAAAGUAGCAAUACUUGGUGGCGACCGGCGUACGGGUGAGUAACGCGUAUGCAACCUACCUAUCAGAGGGGAAUAACCCGGCGAAAGUCGGACUAAUACCGCAUAAAACAGGGGCACCGCAUGGUGAUAUUUGUUAAAGAAAUUCGCUGAUAGAUGGGCAUGCGUUCCAUUAGGUAGUUGGUGAGGUAACGGCUCACCAAGCCGACGAUGGAUAGGGGAACUGAGAGGUUGGUCCCCCACACUGGUACUGAGACACGGACCAGACUCCUACGGGAGGCAGCAGUGAGGAAUAUUGGUCAAUGGGCGGGAGCCUGAACCAGCCAAGUCGCGCCGAAGGAAGAAGGAUCUAUGGUUCGUAAACUUCUUUUGCAGGGGAAUAAAGUGCAGGACGUGUCCUGUUUUGUAUGUACCCUGAGAAUAAGGAUCGGCUAACUCCGUGCCAGCCGCAGC